AAAGGAGCAGCCGGGACUAGAACCGUAGAACCAGCACCCAUAUGGGAUGCCAGCGCUUCAGGCCAGGACAUUAACUCACUGUGCCACAGUGCCGGCCCCAGGGUUCUUAUUCUAGGCUGGUGGAGGUGCUCUUGCUGUUUGAUGUGAGUUCGUGUUCCAUCGGUGGUACAUUUCCUUGCAUGCCAAUCCCGCAUCCUAAAAGGACUGUCAGCUUUGAACAGUGAUACAGAUGCCCACAUGUUCAGGCGUAGAGAGCACUGGUGUCUGCUUGGAAAUCCUUCGCUUCAUCAGCAGGCAGCUGGGUCAGAAGUGGAGUGGCCGGGACUUGAACCAGUGCCCACACAGGGCGCCCCACAGCUCCCCCGCCAUCUGCUACCAGAAGUACCGGGAGAGCUAAGGGAGGAGCAGCAGACACAGUGGUGGCCAUGACGCCCUUUGGUCUGCGGGACGAGCAGGCAGGGUCCGCCGGGAGCAAGUCCCCCCCCCCGGAAUGGCUUUGCCACAGAGGCCAACCCCCCUGUAAGAGAAGCGGAGCUCAGUGCAGAGAUGGGCAGGGCGGGUUGGAGGCAGGUGCCGUGUGGGCCCACCAGGCCCCAGGGACCAAAGUCCUGAGUGUUCAGAUCUGAAGCGCGACCCCUGGUAUCACCGCAUGUCACGCACGUCCCACAGCUGACAUCUGAGAGGGUCCUGCUGGCGGGGAGGGGUGGGAGGGCCUGGGCGGGGGGCGGGUGCUCAGCGCCCGGCAGCCAGGCUGAACACCCACAGCCCCACCUGCAACAGGGAACAUCCCAACUCUGCCAGGCCCCGCCCCCAGCACUGCACCUGCCUCUCCCAUCAGCUCUCCGACAGUGAGGAUGAGGCCGGCUGGGGUGCUGCUGACCCACACGUGGGGAAACUGAGGCACAGAGCAGCAACCCCGUGGGAGGCCACUGCAGAGCUCCCCACAGGUGAGUGCUGUCUUGGCUCAGGUCUGGAGUCUCACUUGAAUUUCAGCCCAGUGACCACCCCGCGGGCUGGAGAAAGUCCUGAGGGUCGCUGGCAGCGGAAGCUGCGCAAACCCCACGUGCGGGGGAGGCUCCAGCAGCCCAUGAAUGGCAUUGACUGGAGAUUCGGGGAGGCUGGGCGAGUUUCCGUUGGUGGAGAACUUGACUCACACUUGAGCACAUCUCCUGUUUCCUGUUGUUAAUAUCAUGAUUGUUUCCUUGAUGAAAAGCGAUCAAGAAAUAAGCCUGCAUCCCAUAGGAGCGCCGGUUCGAGUCCUGGCUGCUCUACUUCCAAUCCAGCUCCCUGCUAAUGCACUUGGAAAAGCAGCAGAAGACGGCCCACGUGCUUGGGCCCCUACACCAACGUGGGAGACCCGGAUAGAGUUCCAGAACCCCCUGUUGCAGUUAUUUGGGGAGUGAACCAGUCGUUGUUUCUCCCUCUCUGCAACUCUUUCAAAUAAAUAGCUAUUUUUUUUUAAAAGGUGUUGCUGGCAGGUUGGACCUGUGCAGCCAAGCUCGUUUGCUGGGUGAGCUGAGUCUGCUUCCGUUCCAGUCCCAGCGCUGCCACGGCCCGACCAUGAGGCUGUGCGCGCAUGAACUCCCCCCCCAGCCUCAGUCUCCCCACUGCAAAACCGAGCCCAUCGUCCCUGUGCAGCGAGCACACUUGCUCGUGUCUGUGCGGCUCUCGCUUGGCAGAGGAAUCAAAAGGCUAUAAAUAGCCAUGUCUUGGUUUCUCAGAAAUGUGUGAAGUGUGACUUGGCAUCUUGCCCAGGCUUCCGUCAGGGCGAUGAGCAGGGACAGCCGGGCAGGGGCCUGGGGGGGUGUCAAGGUCAGGGUCACGGGCCAAUGCAGGACUCAAGAGGAACCACAGGUGUCGCCCCCCCCCUCCACGCCCUCCUCGGCACAGGCUCCCAGCCGCCACUCCGAGCCCCGUCUGGGGAGCCACCUUUCCCCACUUCCUCGCUGUGGGCACCGUGGAAGGUGGCGGAACGGAAGGAUGCUUCUCGGCUCAGCUCCGCCCCCAGCCCUCGUCCCACGCCCUUCCCUGAUGACCUUGGAAACCAAGACUUCCGAUGAACUGGGCCACCUGCGCUUCCUUGGAUUGUGACGUGAGCAGUGCGGGAGCCUGCCCUAGGCUGAGCCGUCCAGACUGGCCUGCGGGACUCCAGGGCCGUCACAUGUGCCCGGGCAGCGUCACUGGGCGGAAAGGGGCCUGGAUCCAGGGCUGCCGUGUGCAGCUGUGCAGGCUGAGCACUGUGCAAAGCGACCAGCCAGGGGCAAGUAGGGCCCCCCUCUAGGCAUAGUUCACUGCUCGCAUUUGAUGCCAGUGCCCCGAUGGGGGGGCUGUGUCUGCAAAGAGAACCUGUGUGCAAUGUAAGCAUAAGGCGACACGUGGCUGAGCAUUGCUGUGGCUUCAGCAGAUUGGAGGGGCUGUGUCUGUAGCACGUACAGGAGUCCCCCUCGUCCACGGAGGCUUUCCCAGGGUCCUUGGGCAGUACCGAACGCUAUGUACUGUUCUCUUCCCCACACAUCCAUAUCUAUGAUAAGGUUGGAUUUAUAAAUUAGGCACAGUAAGAGAUUAGCAACAGUAAUGAAUAAUAAAUCAGCGAUCAUAGCAGUAUACUGCAUUAAAAGUUAUUUAAA